CACCGAUGCAUCAGCGCAUGCGUCGAGCUCAUAGAGCAAAACCCUGUGUCGGUGUGCGUACCGCUUUAAAAAAGUCACGUGACCCAUCAUGAGCUGUUUGGGUCACGUGACCGAUACGCGAACUGUGUCGCACUGACGCCUGCGCGCCAAACUGUGUUUAUAAGGAAGCGCAGCUGACAACAGAAUAGCCGCACUUCUGUCGUUGGUCAUUUAUUGUCGUCAGAGAUUAUGGAGCAGCCUCAGUCGAAAAGAAAAUUCUCGCCGUGUGGGAAUAUUUUGAUCAUACAUCGGAAAAAAAAGGCAUUAUAGGGCCGGGCAUGAAAAUGAAGUUCCAGAGACACCCAGGAUAAACUCAGGCAGCAGAUGCUGGAUGAGGCUCUGCUGAACUUCAUUGUCAAGGACUGCCAGGCUCAUUAUUUAUUGACUGUAUCUAAAAAUGAUAAAAAUAUAUUUUUAUUCAAAUGAAGAUAUGAAAUAAUCUUAAA